GACGAACGCUGGCGGCGUGCUUAACACAUGCAAGUCGAACGCUGAAGCUCAGCUUGCUGGGUGGAUGAGUGGCGAACGGGUGAGUAACACGUGAGUAACCUGCCCUCUUCUUUGGGAUAACGCCCGGAAACGGGUGCUAAUACUGGAUAUUCACUGAUUCUCGCAUGGGGGUUGGUGGAAAGGUUUUUUCUGGUGGGGGAUGGGCUCGCGGCCUAUCAGCUUGUUGGUGGGGUGAUGGCCUACCAAGGCUUUGACGGGUAGCCGGCCUGAGAGGGUGACCGGUCACAUUGGGACUGAGAUACGGCCCAGACUCCUACGGGAGGCAGCAGUGGGGAAUAUAGCACAAUGGGCGAAAGCCUGAUGCAGCGACGCCGCGUGAGGGAUGGAGGCCUUCGGGUUGUAAACCUUUUUCGCUCAUGGUCAAGCCGCAGCUUUGGGUUGUGGUGAGGGUAGUGGGUAAAGAAGCGCCGGCUAACUACGUG
rnacentral:rRNA from 1 species